AUUGAACGCUGGCGGCAGGCCUAACACAUGCAAGUCGAGCGGAUGAAGGGAGCUUGCUCCUGGAUUCAGCGGCGGACGGGUGAGUAAUGCCUAGGAAUCUGCCUGGUAGUGGAGGAUAACGUCCGGAAACGGGCGCUAAUACCGCAUACGUCCUGAGGGAGAAAGUGGGGGAUCUUCGGACCUCACGCUAUCAGAUGAGCCUAGGUCGGAUUAGCUAGUUGGUGGGGUAAAGGCCUACCAAGGCGACGAUCCGUAACUGGUCUGAGAGGAUGAUCAGUCACACUGGAACUGAGACACGGUCCAGACUCCUACGGGAGGCAGCAGUGGGGAAUAUUGGACAAUGGGCGAAAGCCUGAUCCAGCCAUGCCGCGUGUGUGAAGAAGGUCUUCGGAUUGUAAAGCACUUUAAGUUGGGAGGAAGGGCAGUAAGUUAAUACCUUGCUGUUUUGACGUUACCAACAGAAUAAGCACCGGCUAACUUCGU
rnacentral:rRNA from 1 species